UGUCAGUGCUGUCGUGUGAGCGUGUGUGUCACCACGUUGUGGUCUCUCGAAUCCCGGCAAGCGUUACCCUUAAAUCCUCCCUUCGGUACCCCGUGUAGUUUGUGCGGUUUCGUCCUUUCCCUCACCUCUAGUCGCUGUCUCCGGGCAUUUGUGUGUGUCGCUGUUGCUGGCAAGUGGCCGCCUUUGUUGCAUGGCAACACUUGGCUAAUCGAUGAGGUGCCGAAAAAGCGGACACAUACCCGAAGCACACACCCACAAGGAUAACACAAGGAUAAUGACCCAAACCGAUUUGCUUACAAAUUGAAUUCAUGCAACACGAGACUGCAGCUCAAAAAUGUGAAAAUACA